AUAUGUAGCAAUUGAAUAAAGUCUAUUUUGAAAAAAAAAAAAAAAGGUUCUCCCAGGACGAGGCUAUCCCAUUGCACUUCGGGUGUGCUGACACCUGCGAUGUCCCCAAAUGCGGGAUACUCGACUGCAAAAUUUGUGGUAGUGGGGGACUGCGUUCGCGCUCUCCCGAU